rnacentral:rRNA from 1 species
GAUGAACGCUGAUAGAAUGCUUAACACAUGCAAGUCUUUGGCGAAGCUGUGCUUGCACAGCCUAGCCAAGGCGGACGGGUGAGUAACGCGUAAGGAACUUGCCCUGCAGUCAGGGAUAACAGACGGAAACGACUGAUAAGACCUGGUAAAGUCAGGCGGACUCAUGUCCAGCCUGAUGAAAAGAGAUGCUGCAGGAGAGCCUUGCGUCCUAUUAGCUUGUUGGUGGGGUAACGGCCCACCAAGGCGAUGAUAGGUAGCCGGCCUGAGAGGGUGGACGGCCACAAGGGGACUGAGAUACGGCCCUUACUCCUACGGGAGGCAGCAGUGGGGAAUAUUGGACAAUGGGGGCAACCCUGAUCCAGCAAUUCUGUGUGCACGAUGAAGGUUUUCGGAUUGUAAAGUGCUUUCAGCAGGGAAGAAAAAAUGACGGUACCUGCAGAAGAAGCGACGGCUAAAUACGUG